UCUAUGUAAUGGAACAAGUGAGUUAGUAUUUGGUAGCUUGGCUUUUAAGAAAGCUGAUUUUAGGUGUGAAGUAGGAAGAGAAUGAUAGACAUGAAGUCCUCUGUUCUUCAAUCUGCAUCUCACUCUUUCUAUAUUCUCUUUUAUGCAUUGGCAGCUUUCCAAAUAAAGAAGAAGGUUAAGGAAAAUGAGUUUGGUAGUUCUAUGGAAGCAUUAAACUGUGUCAAACAGGAAUGAUUGUUGUUGGAACUAAAAACAACAAUGAAAUGAAAAGAGCCUUCAAGAGGGAGCAUGAAGUGGAAUUGCUGCCAACUUCUUUAUAUAUGUAAAUAUGAACUAAAAGUAUAAUUUUUGACAUGUGUAUAGAUUUUUGUAUUAUGUUUUAUAUUGAUUUUGUACUAAAUAUAUUUUUUAGUUUGUAUUUUGUUUAUCUAUUUUAUAAAAAUUAAUUUUGAUAUUUUAUUAA